rfam:Gossypium hirsutum cultivar TM-1 chromosome 25, whole genome shotgun sequence
AAUCCAUGCAUUAGACAUUUCUGAAGUAAUUCCUUUAAUCCUUCCCAAGCUUCAUACAACGUCUCAUCCUCUAAUUACCGAACAUAUGUAAUGUCAUUUCUAAGCUU